GGGUUGGAGGGAGGUCUCCUUAUACUGCCCAGGCUGGUCUCGAACUUCUGGGUUCAAGCAAUCCUCCUGCCUUGGCCUCCCAAAGUGCUGGGAUUAUGGGUGUGGGCCACUGUGCCUCGCCUGCUUUCUUUUUCAACCAGUGACUCAGGAAGUCCAGGGCACAGGUGAUCUUUAUCUCCCUACAUCGAUGCAGCAACAGGGUUCAGCUGAAUGAGAUCCUAUGCAUAAGGAUAUGGUUUAGAUUUGUGUCUCCACCCAAAUCUCAUGUUGAGUUGGAGGAGGGGCCUGGUGGGAGGCGAUUGGAUCAUGAGAACGGAUUUCCCCCUUGCUGUUCUCGUGAUAGUGAGUGAAUUCUCACGAGAUCUGACGGUUUAAAAGGGUGUGGCACCUCUCCCUUUCUUCUUUCUACUGCUCCGCCAUUGUGAGGGCGUGCUUGCGUCUCCUUCGCCUUCUGCCAUAAUUUUUCAGAUUUGCAAAGGGAGACGUGACAUCAAGUUUGGAAGAAAGCUGAAUUACUGGGACUAACAGAGUGAAAAGAAUAUGGACUUUCAAGAAAGAAACAGAUCUCCCGCCACAGCCAGUGAGGAAAUGAGGUCUCUUGACAACACCUGUGAGAGAGCCAUCUGAGAAGAUCCUCCAACCCUGGGGAAACCUUCAGAUGACUGCAGACCUGGCUGACAGUCUGACUGCUGCCUCACGAGAGACCCUCAGCCAGGACUACCCAGCUAAGCCACUUCUGGACUACUAGCCUCAGAAACUGUGUGAGAUAAUAAACAGUUGUUGUUUUUCACUUCUGACUUGGGGGUAAUUUAUUAAUGCAGCAAUAGAUAACUGACAUAAAAGAAACCAAAGCUAGAAAAGCUUACAUUUGCAAAAGUUGUAAUUAAUAAAACUGGGUUAGCUGGCUUUUAGGAAGUAAAGAAAAAGAUAAUUAAAACUUAUAAAACUUAAUUUCCUGCACCU
rnacentral:lncRNA from 10 species